AGCUUUGCACUGUGGCAGUAUUAUAUCCUAUGAAAAUCUACUAAGGCCUGAUUAUUGCUAAUUGAAAAGUUUACUGAAUAGUCUAUUAAGUAUGUUUUUGACAGAUUUGACAAUUUUUAUAUUCUUUCUGGAGA